rnacentral:rRNA from 1 species
GACGAACGCUGGCGGCGUGCCUAAUACAUGCAAGUAGAACGCUGAAGGAGGAGCUUGCUUCUCCGGAUGAGUUGCGAACGGGUGAGUAACGCGUAGGUAACCUGCCUGGUAGCGGGGGAUAACUAUUGGAAACGAUAGCUAAUACCGCAUAAGAGUAGAUGUCGCAUGACAUUUGCUUAAAAGGUGCAACUGCACCACUACCAGAUGGACCUGCGUUGUAUUAGCUAGUUGGUGAGGUAACGGCUCACCAAGGCAACGAUACAUAGCCGACCUGAGAGGGGGAUCGGCCACACUGGGACUGAGACACGGCCCAGACUCCUACGGGAGGCAGCAGUAGGGAAUCUUCGGCAAUGGACGGAAGUCUGACCGAGCAACGCCGCGUGAGUGAAGAAGGUUUUCGGAUCGGAAAGCUCUGUUGUAAGAGAAGAACGAGUGUGAGAGUGGAAAGUUCACACUGUGACGGUAUCUUACCAGAAAGGGACGGCUAACUACGUG